CCCUGGAGAUAAAAACCGUGGAGGUAAACUCAAAGGUGCCUUUCUUAUCUUCCUCUAAUGACAUUCAUUCCUGUUCUGAAAGGGGAGGUAUGAAGAAGAUAACCCUACAGCUCACUGCCCGGAGACAGGGUUUGCUUGGCAGCACACUGAGGCUAAAGCCACACAAAGCUGAACACGAGUGGUGUUGGGGAUUGACAUUGACAGUCCUGGAGACCAUGAAAAGAGCUGAUGGAGAGCCCCUGGCCGACACUGCCCAACGUCCUCAGCUCUGAAACCGCAUGUACCCUUGAGGUUUGAACUUCAUGUCCAGGGCUGUCUCCCACUGCAGCAGUGAGGAGCCACCAUACCAGUCUUCAUAGUGGCUGCACUAU